AACGAGUUCACAUUCAAUUGUGCGAGGGAUUCUGCCUGCUCCUCGCUGAUCAUCUGACAUGAGCUCCUGCACCCUGCAAAACAUAAGAUAACAAAGGUGUGCAGUAAUAAAAAGCUGCAUGGCACCCGCCGGGGGACGCGACGAAACAGAAAUUUUACCACAAGAUAUUGAAUUUAAAUUAAGGUGACUUGCCGG